rnacentral:rRNA from 1 species
ACAAGCGGAGGAGCAUGUGGUUAAUUCGAUGAUACGCGAGGAACCGUUACCUGGGCUCGAACGUAAGAUGACUGUAGGUGAAAGCUUACAUCUCUUCGGAGCAUUUUACGAGGUGCUGCAUGGUUGUCGUCAGCUCGUGCCGUGAGGUGUCGGGUUAAGUCCCAUAACGAGCGCAACCCUACCUUUAGUUGCCAUCAGGUAAUGCUGGGGACUCUAAAGGAACUGCCUACGCAAGUAGUGAGGAAGGCGGGGAUGACGUCAAAUCAGCACGGCCCUUACGUCCAGGGCUACACACGUGCUACAAUGGCCGAUACAGAGGGCAGCUACCUGGUGACAGGAUGCAAAUCUCCAAAGUCGGUCUCAGUUCGGAUCGGAGUCUGCAACCCGACUCCGUGAAGUUGGAUUCGCUAGUAAUCGCGCAUCAGCCAUGGCGCGGUGAAUACGUUCCCGGGCCUU